GUGGGGAAUUUUGGACAAUCGGCGCAAGCCUGAUCCAGCAAUGCCGCGUGCAGGAAGAAGGCCUUCGGGUUGUAAACUGCUUUUGUACGGAACGAAACGGUCCUGGUUAAUACCUGGGGCUAAUGACGGUACCGUAAGAAUAAGCACCGGCUAACUACGUGCCAGCAGCCGCGGUAAUACGUAGGGUGCAAGCGUUAAUCGGAAUUACUGGGGGUAAAUCGUGCGAAGGCGGUUUUGUAAGACAGGCGUGAAAUCCCCGGGCUCAACCUGGGAAUUGCGCUUGUGACUGCAAGGCUGGAGUGCGGCAGAGGGGGAUGGAAUUCCGCGUGUAGCAGUGAAAUGCGUAGAUAUGCGGAGGAACACCGAUGGCGAAGGCAAUCCCCUGGGCCUGCACUGACGCUCAUGCACGAAAGCGUGGGGAGCAAACAGGAUUAGAUACCCUUGUAGUCC
rnacentral:rRNA from 1 species